rnacentral:piRNA from 1 species
UAAAGCCUAUCUUCACGAGCCUUCU